rnacentral:lncRNA from 1 species
AUAUGGCACUGCUGAUUUCAGCCAAAGUAUUAAACAGUACUGGAGCGCAGAGCUUUUUGCCAUGCUAAAUAAUCAGCCUGAAUUGCUUGGAAUCACUUGGAAAGAUAAAAAAAUGGUCGUUUCAUCAAACAGAUUGGUUCAGCUGUUUUCGAGCAAAAACAAAAAAGUUCUCCAGGUUCAAAAAGAUUCAGUCAAUGCAAAAGGAUCUGGUAGUUCUAUUUAUUCCAAUCUGAGCAUUGAAACCGUUAGCUACAAUUUGGUUCGAAUCAGAGGAGUUAAAGCUAACCGUUACAUUUGUUUUAAUUUUACAAGUAAAACACUUAUU